rnacentral:rRNA from 1 species
GAGUUUGAUCGUGGCUCAGGAUGAACGCUAGCUACAGGCCUAACACAUGCAAGUCGAGGGGAAACGGGAAAGCAGCUUGCUGCUUUCUGUCGUCGACCGGCGCACGGGUGAGUAACGCGUAUCCAACCUUCCCAUAACUAAGGGAUACCCCGUAGAAAUGCGGCCUAAUACCUUAUGUACUCCCAUGGACGGCAUCAAGAAGUGGGAGACAAAAGUAAGUUUCGGUUAUGGAGUGGGGAUGCGUCUGUAUUAG